AAGGUAGACGGCUGGCACCUUAUAAGUUCAGUCAAUACAAAGUAAACAAGGAGCCUAGUAUG
rnacentral:sRNA from 12 species